CAGAAUUACUGAUCAUUUUAUUUCCGUCUUUGCCGAGCUCAGUUGUAUACAAUGAAGUCAGCCGCUGCUAUCAUCACGCUGUGGGCCACCGUCACGCUGCUACUCCAUUACAGCGGAGCGGAGUCUGGCAACCCCGGGGUCGAAUUUGGGCUCAACAAAAUCAACACGGGAAACGGCAUAGUCAAAUCUGGGAGUGACGCCGACAGGCCGACACGGAAAAAGCGCUCGAGUAUGAAUAUAAUGGGAAAUCAGGAAAUCUUCGCGACAGCGCGACAGGAAAUCUUUGGGAAAUCAGCGCGACAGGAAAUCUUCGGGAAAUCAGCGCGAAAGGAAAUCGUCCCAACCCGGUAGUGGAAUAAUAGUUCAGGUUGAUCUUCCUGGUCGCGGAACUUCCCGGAUGAUCGCGUCAAACGCAUCGAAUGCAGACCAGAAAAGCACAAACAGUUUUUACGGCAGCGAUUCAGAGAUGAAGUUCAAUAUAGCAGUCCUGCCUGUAUUAUCAGCAUAAUCGUAUCUCACCAAGAAUUUGAAGCGCUGUUUUUUGAUUUUUUUCGAACUAUACUUGCGUAUAAGCGUGCAAGUAUGACUUCGUCAAUAUAAUAAUUAUGGUCUCUUUACCUUUAUGUAUUUGCCAGAUAUUACCGUAUCGAUUUUUUACGUGUAUUUACCAUUCUGAUUCCCCGGGAUUAAUACUACCCAUCACUUAACAGCAAAAUGAAAGAAGAGCCUGGAAAUGACAAAUCAGACGCUGGCAUUCACAAAAGCGAAGACGUUGUCCGGCUGGUCGAUCCAGAGAGUCUCCAGUUUGAUAGUGACCUUACCCGAAAAAUCCGCAAAGGUGCAUGGUUGACUAACUGCUUCACUGUCGCCAGCCUGAUUCUGUUCGCAGCCAGAGUCUACAUAAUCAUCGCAACUCCUGUGUUGAACAGAGAUGAUGAUUUGGAAUACAGUAUGGUAUGCGGAAUGUGGAAUUUUUGCGGAAUAAGACUGAGGAAGUGCGAAUUAUUCUGACGGAUUCGAUCAUGAUUUGAUGCUAAUUCCAUCGACCAGCGUUUUCUUGUUCAUCGUUGCGGCAGAAAUGGCAGCGCUCUUGAUUCUGGCUCGUGUUCGGGGUUUGUGCAGUGGUUUACAGUGGCCAACAGAUUCACCCAAAUUCACCAUUGACAUUGCAGCAUUGUGCGAUAGCUGUAGAAGCGUAAAGGCCUUUUUUGGAGGAGCCCAGAUAUUGAUGUCAGUUGUGCAAAUUGCGUGGGUGUUCUGUCCGGUAUAUUUCUUUUACGAAGAAAUGGAGUACAGUGGAACGAACCUAUUCCAACCACAUCCCGAGAAUUUCGCGCCAGUACUGCUUGUAGAGUGCAUUACCAUCCUCGUCUCGAUCAAAUGCUCUAAUCUGGCGCAGAAGGUGGAAGAUAAUAUCAUGUAUUACUGGUAUUACCGGACAGCCGCAAAUAGCAAGCCAUGCUCGUUUCCAUCGCGUAAAGAAAUUGCGAAGCUUCUGUUGGAUGAAGAAAUCAGAAUUAUGGAGUCAGACGACACAAUCAUCUUGUAGCGCAGCUUUUAGUAAAGCCAGCGAAUUUUCAUGUUACUCGGUUACCAGAUUUAUAUUAGACGAGUGGUAAGCGGCCGGCAUUCACCAGCCGCGAGCAUUGUGUGA